rnacentral:rRNA from 1 species
UACAGAGGGGGCAAGCGUUAUUCGGAAUUAUUGGGCGUAAAGGGCGCGUAGGCGGCCUGGCAAGUGGAAGGUGAAAUCCCUCGGCUUAACCGAGGAACUGCCCUCCAAACUGCUUGGCUUGAGUCCGGGAGAGGUGAGUGGAAUUCCCAGUGUAGCGGUGAAAUGCGUAGAUAUCGGGAGGAACACCAGUGGCGAAGGCGGCUGUCUGGGGUAUUGCUGACGCUGAGGCACGAAAGCCAGGGGAGCGAACGGG